rnacentral:lncRNA from 1 species
GCAAACAGAUAAUCCACUGGUGAGUUUGUACCACUCAAGAGUCACCCUUAGGCUAUGCCAAUUUUCUACGCAUGAACUCCUUGCCCACCCCUUCCUCUGGAUCCCAUGUGGCUGCCUGGUCUACCAUCAUGGCAGAAUGCGAGUCUCUACAGAACUGAACACCCAUCAUGGGGAGGCUGCUGUGAUGACUCAGGAAAUGCUUCCUCCUUCAUAAUAUUGAACCCAGCUUCAUGAUGUUUAAUAUGAUUACUAUCUUGCUCCAUAACAGAGUCUUUUCAGCAUGGAAAAAUGUCUUCGAUAACAGCAUGAAGUGUCUCAGAUAACCAACAUGAAGAAUGCCACAUAACAAAGGCACCAAAUAACAAAAUAAUCUGUUUUUCCACUCAGAUGCCUUCUAAUAUUGCUCACACUUUUAUGAGAGCACAACAAUGUCCAUCAUAAAUAAUGCAAAGGCUUGGCAUGCCCUGAGCUCUCUGUCACCAGCCAGGACUGAAUUGCAGAGUAAAAAUAUUUCAUUUGGGGUACUCUGUACACAGCCAUAUAUUUGUCAAGGUUUUAUAACUCUUAGGACUCCGUGAAUAUAAUCAGUCCUGCAUCCUCUCACUGACUGAGGAUAUCAAAGUGUAUGUGAAAAGGCAGGUCUGACAGUGCCCUUA